GUAUUAUUUUAUAGAAAAAUACGUUAUCUUUGUUACAAUGCAUGAAUGUGACUAAAUUUAUUUUAUCAAAUUUACUAAUUAUGUUGAAGAUGAUCUAACCUAAAAUAUGUGUUGUUGGAUUACAUCAAAUUUGCUUUGGGAGGUCCUGGGGAACACCAGAAGAAAUAGGCAAAACCUUCAGGAGUAGCUGCAGACAUUGAUCACUUAUAAAAAAUCUUUGUACAUACAAAACUCUACAAGUAAAAUAGUACAGCGGUAGCAAAUAUUAUAUAUGUUAUAAUCAUUUUUAUGUGUAAACUUGGCUAUACUAUGAUACUGUUUUUUUAAUCUCUCUGUGAAUGUAUAUUUUUACAUGUGAUUAGUAUGUCAUUAAAAAGAUGUUGAGCAAAACAGAUUACCCUCCAUAAUGUGGAUAAAUCUCAUCUAAUCUUUCUUCGAUUUUAGGAGAAAAGUGUGUGGUCACAGAAGGAAGAUGAGUUCUGCCUUCAGACUUCUUUGGACUCAAAAGUGCAACAUCAUCUCUUCCCUAGUGUGCUUGCCUGCCCUGCAGAUUUUGGACUUGUUAGAUUCUACAGUCUCGUGAGCCAUUUCCUUAACGUAAAUUAAUCUUUUUUUUUUUCUUUCUCUCUUGCUAUAACUGUAUCUAUGUCUAUGCCCUUAUCUAUUAUCUAUCUAUCUAAUUUCUUAUUGGUUCUGUUUCCCUGGAAAGCUCUAAUUAAUACAUCAUGGUUUUUCCCCUCUAGUUUACCUGAGUUAUAUGGAAAGGCACGAGUGGCCCCCACAACUGCCACAUCCCCAAACCGAGGAAGAUUCAAAUAGACAGUAAGAAUAACUACUUCGGAAGGACCCCCUAUCUUCUUGAUAAAAAGACUUAUUUUUCAUAUGCUCAGUACUGAUCAAUAUUGGAGACAUAAGGUAAGCUUAACCCAUGUUCCAUGUUUAUUACUUUCCAAUACUGAAUUCUAUCUUGGAAAAUUAAUAGGGGGAACAACACGUAAUAGACACCAAUUAUAUUUAAAAUAUUAAAUUUGUGAUUAUAGUGAACAAUAGUUCAUUUCUUCCCUGAGCUAGUUUAAAGAGGAAAAACCCUAACCCAAAUGCAGAACUCAAUACCUACUCAGACUUUAUAAUUUAGUAUAUGGGAAAUAGAGACAAUGGACAAAAUAAAUAAAGUAUGUAAUAUACUAGGUAAUAAGUG
rnacentral:lncRNA from 1 species